GACGAACGCUGGCGGCGUGCCUAAUACAUGCAAGUUGAGCGCUGAAGGUUGGUACUUGUACCGACUGGAUGAGCAGCGAACGGGUGAGUAACGCGUGGGUAAUCUGCCUUUGAGAGGGGGACAACAUCUGGAAACGAAUGCUAAUACCGCAUAAAAACUUUAAACACAAGUUUUAAGUUUGAAAGAUGCAAUUGCAUCACUCAAAGAUGAUCCCGCGUUGUAUUAGCUAGUUGGUGAGGUAAAGGCUCACCAAGGCGAUGAUACAUAGCCGACCUGAGAGGGGGAUCGGCCACAUUGGGACUGGGACACGGCCCAAACUCCUAAGGGAGGCAGCAGUAGGGAAUCUUCGGCAAUGGACGAAAGUCUGACCGAGCAACGCCGCGUGAGUGAAGAAGGUUUUCGGAUCGUAAAACUCUGUUGGUAGAGAAGAACGUUGGUGGGAGUGGAAGGCUCAUCUAGUGACGGUAACUACCCAGAAAGGGACGGCUAACUACGUG
rnacentral:rRNA from 1 species